UUUAAAAUAGCUGAUAGAGCUAACCCGUCUCUGUUGCAAAAGAGUGGAAUAAUUUUAAAGUAGCGGUGAAAAGCCUACCGAACUUAGAGAUAGCUGGUUACUCAGGAAAAGAAUUUUAGUUCAACCCUAAGUCUUAUUAUAUUACAUUAAUAAACAAACUAGACCUAGGAGCUACUCAAAUAAGGCACAGCUUAUUUGAUAAAGGAGACAACCUACAAAAAAGGGUAAAAAUUGCUACAUUAACCAAGUGGGCCUGAAAGCAGCCAUCUUCAAGAAAGCGUUAAAGCUCCAUUUUAAACUUAACCAAAUCCCAUUAUACACCUUAAACCCUUUACCCCUACUGAGUGACUCUAUAGCUGUAUAGAAGCCCUUAUGCUAAAACUAGUAACAAGAAAUUGCAUUCUCCAAAAUAUAAGCAUAAACCAAAAUGGACAAACCAUUGGUAGUUAACACUAACUAAGCCCAAUAUAGUAACAACACAAGAAAAUCCUAUAAUUCACCUAUGUUAACCUUACACAAGUAUAUUUCUGGAAAGAUUAAAAGAAAGGGAAGGAACUCGGCAAAUUUUAACCCCGCCUGUUUACCAAAAACAUCGCCUCUUGAAAGCUAUAAGAGGUCUAGCCUGCCCAGUGAUAAAAUUAAACGGCCGCGGUACCCUGACCGUGCGAAGGUAGCAUAAUCACUUGUUCUCUAAAUAAGGACUCGUAUCAACGGCAUCACGAGGGUUACACUGUCUCCCCCCUCUAAUCAGUGAAACUGACUUUCCCGUGAAGAGGCGGGAAUUAUUCUACAAGACGAGAAGACCCCAUGGAGCUUUAAACCCAAAGGCAACCUUUAUAUUCUUUACUUAAAAAUUCCUAGGCUACUGCCUAUUGGUUUUAGGUUGGGGUGACCGCGGAGUAAAACUUAACCUCCACGCCGAAUAGACCUUCAUCUUAAUCUCAGAGCUACCGCUCCAAGAAUCAAAAAUUUGACGCAGCCUGAUCCGAUUUCUCGAUCAACGAACCAAGUUACCCUGGGGAUAACAGCGCAAUCCAUUUUAAGAGCCCCUAUCGACAAAUGGGUUUACGACCUCGAUGUUGGAUCAGGGUAUCCCAGUGGUGCAGCCGCUACUAAAGGUUUGUUUGUUCAACAAUUAAAACCCU
rnacentral:rRNA from 1 species